rnacentral:rRNA from 1 species
UAGCCGUAAACGAUACUCGCUAGGUGUCGGCCACGGUGCGACCGUUGUCGGUGCCGUAGGGAAGCCGUGAAGCGAGCCACCUGGGAAAUACGGCCGCAAGGCUGAAACUUAAAGGAAUUGGCGGGGGAGCACAACAACGGGUGGAGCUUGCGGUUUAAUUGGAUUCAACGCCGGAAAUCUUACCGGGACCGACAGCAACAUGAAGGCCAAGCUGAAGACUUUGCCGGAUUAGCUGAGAGGAGGUGCAUGGCGUAGUCGUG